rnacentral:rRNA from 1 species
AUGGCUCCUGACAUGGGUGGGCGGGUGGUCGUGGUGGUGGGAGGGAGCGUGGCGGGCCUGGCCUGCGCGCACGCGGUGGCGGGGGCGGGGUGGAAGGCGGUGGUGUUGGAGAAGGCGGCGGGCCCGGCGGCCGGAGGCGGCACGGGCGCCGGGCUGGGCCUGGAUGCGCAGUCUAUGGAGACCCUCGCCCGCUGGAUCCCCGAGUGGGGUCUCGACGCGGCCACGCUGCCGCUCGCCGUCGACCUGAACAUGGCAACGGACAGCGAGACGAAGGCGGCGCGGACUCUGACGAGGGACGAGGGCUUCAACUUCCGCGCGGCGCACUGGGGCGAGCUGCACCGGCGGCUUCACGAGGCUCUGCCGGCCGCGGUGACCGUCCACUGGGGCCACCAGUUCCUUUCGUUCGAGGUUUCGGACACGGACGGCCAUGGUGGCAAACGCGGCGGGGUCGUCGCGACGGCUCGCCUGCUCGGAACCGGAGAAACGGUGGAGGUCGCCGGGGAUUUGCUGGUCGCAGCGGAUGGCUGCACUUCGUCGAUCCGACGGCGCUUCCUCCCUGACCUCAAGCUCAGGUACUCCGGGUACUGCGCGUGGCGAGGCGUGUUCGAUUUCACCGGGAAGGAAAGCUCUGAUAUCAUCACCGGCAUCCGAAGAGCGUACCCAGAGCUCGGCAGCUGCCUGUACUUCGAUCUGGCCGAAAAGACUCACGCCGUGCUCUACGAGUUGCCCGGGAACAGGCUCAACUGGCUCUGGUACAUCAACGGCCCAGAGCCAGAGCUCACGGGGAGCUCUGUGACGAUGAAGGUGAGCGACGCCACGCUCGCAGGGAUGCAGGACGACGCCGAGCGCGUCUGGUCGCCGGAGCUGGCGCGGCUGAUCAGGGAAACAGCAGAACCGUUCGUGAACGUGAUCUACGACGCGGACCCGCUGCCGCGGCUGCCGUGGGCGGGCGGUAGCGUGGCGCUGGUCGGCGACGCGGCGCACCCGACCACCCCGCACGGGCUGCGGAGCACCAACAUGUCCGUCCACGACGCCCGCGUGCUCGGGGAGUGCCUCGGGAGGUGGGGGGAGACGCCGCCGCCACGCGCUAUGGACGAGUACGAGGCCGCGCGGCUGCCGGUCGUGGCGGCGCAGGUGCUGCACGCCCGCAGGCUCGGGCGGCUCAAACAGGGCCUGCCGGUGGAGGACGGUGACACGGGGGCGUUCGACGCGAGGGCGGCGACGGCGGAGGAGGCUUUGAUGCUGCGGCAGAGGGGCAUGCCGUAUUUUGGCGGUGCGCCAACUGUAGAUGGCGGUAGUUUGUGA